rnacentral:lncRNA from 1 species
GUCUCACAAGAUCUGAUGCUUUUAUCAGGGGUUUCUGCUUUUGCAUCUUUCUCAUUUUCUCUUGCCGCUGCCAUGUAAGAAGUGCCUUUCACCUCCCACCAUGAUUCUGAGGCCUCCCCAGCCUUGUGGAAAUCUACAUAACUGGAGCCUCAGCUCUUCACUGACUGUCCUCAGGUUCCAGGGGCCACCUGCAGUUCCUUGCCACAUGGAUUUCUCCAGCAUAGCUGUGUACUUCAUCAAGGCACAAGGAGAGUCUCCAGUCUACCAGAGCCCUAUGUAAUGUAACAUAAUCAACAAAGUGACGUCCCAUUCAUAUUCAAUUGGUCAGAAGCAAGUUACAGUCCCCACCCAGGUCAGAGGGAGGAGAUAUGACAAAGAAGUAAACAUCAGGAGGCUGGGACAAUGGGGAUACUUAAGGUCCAUCCUGCUACAACUUCCACAAUGGCGUCUUGACCAUGAGGGCUCCACAGACACUGAAGCGGUCACCCAGGCUGCAAGUCUUGGAGGCAUUCUCUAGGAAUCACAGUCCCAUUCUUCUGCAGGCAAACGGAGUCGCCAUAUGACCCAGCCCUGGUCUUGCUUGGCUUUCUGGAUGUUCUCAACCUUGACAUGACUCCUUAUUCUCCAAUUCAUUUGGACCUCAAGACACUACUACUCUGGCUACAGCCGCCAGGCAUUAAAAAGAUGACACAGAAAAAUUACAGAGUCAGCAUAUAUUUGAAUACUGGAUAAAAGGGAAGAGGAUGAAAUGGAUUUUUCAAAGCUUCUAAAGAAAACAGAACUAGCUGUGUAGCAGACUCCUCUUAUAAACCUCUGCGAAGUUCUACUUGAAAAGCUGUGGUUUCAUUUCAAAGGAAACCAGCAAUCAGGGGGAUCUCUACAGGAAAAUCUCUUCCCUAUGUCUUCUUUAGACUCUUCAAAAAGGAGAGAGAGCA